rnacentral:rRNA from 1 species
GACGAACGCUGGCGGCGUGCCUAACACAUGCGAGUCGAGCGAAAAGACCAGGAGUUUGCUCGUCUGACGUUAGCGGCGGAGGGGAGAGGAACACGUGGAUAACCUACCUAUCAGACUGGGAUAAUUACGGGAAACCGGAGCUAAUACCGGAUGAUAUAUUGCACCGCAUGGGUCCAUAGUGAAAGUCGGUUUUGGUGUCAGUAAUAGCUGGAUCCGCGCCGGAUCAGCUGGUUGUCAAUGUAAAGGCUUACCAAGGCAAGUAGUGGUAACCGACCCCAUAGCGUGGUCGCCCACAUGGUAGCUGAGCCAGGGUCCAGACUCCUGCGCUAGGCAGCAGUCGGGAAUCUUCCGCAAUGGGGGAGAGCCUGACGGAGCAACACCGCGUGAGUGAUGAAGGUGCUCGGAUCGUAGAGCUAUGUUAUUAGUGGUGAACAAAUGUGUAAUUAACUGUGCAGGUAUUGACGGUACCGGGUCAAAAAGCCCCGGCUAACUACGUG